UACGGAGGGUGCAAGCGUUGUCCGGAUUUAUUGGGUUUAAAGGGUGCGUAGGUGGCCCUAUAAGUCAGUGGUGAAAGUCUGCAGCUUAACUGUAGAACUGCCAUUGAUACUGUAGGGCUUGAGUACUGAUGAGGUAGGCGGAAUUGAUAGUGUAGCGGUGAAAUGCAUAGAUAUUAUCAAGAACACUGAUUGCGAAGGCAGCUUACUAAGGAGUUACUGACACUGAGGCACGAAAGCGUGGGGAGCAAACAGG
rnacentral:rRNA from 1 species